ensembl:lncRNA
ACUAUAAGAAACACCUUUCUUGCAUGUUUUUCUUCAUAAAAAACUUGAUUCCAUAUGGCAGUCCUCAAACCUGGCCUCGCAUUUGUAUAACCUCUUGAGUCAUUCAGAGCUGCAGUACACUUACACAUUUGUUAUUGCAAGUGUGCCAGUUAAUGAUAUUUUGCAGAAUGCUGAAGUUCUGUUAUUCCCACUUCAGGUCAGAGAGAUCAAAGUUCUGGUGUUAGAAGCACUUUUAGAUAAAACAUGGUGCAUUCCACGCAUGUCCAGUCUCUAAAGAUAUGAAUGGAGGAAUAGGGUAAAAGGCUGAUAGCUCCUUGGAAAAGAUAGUCAGAAUGUAAUUUUCAAAAGUACUGUGCAUUGUAGUUGUUUUCAUUCUUCAGUUUACCUUUAUUUUUGUUUUCUACUUGUUAUAAAGCCUUUUUCACUUCUUUUUUGGUAUGGAUUAUGUGAACAUUUGAUGCCUGCUGUGUGAAGAUUUUGUCACUAAAACAAUUGCGUCUCAGCAUUUCAGUUGUUCAGGCAGAGCCCUAUAAAUGAUUAUAGCUUUUGGGACUUCCAACUGAUGUUAUUUUAACAUAUGGUAACAGUAUUUGAUAGUUUCCUCUGGGAAUCCCACCCACUGUGUUAGCUGCAAACAGCCAUAUGAAGAAUGCUGUUCUCAUGUUUUAAACACUUGUAAUGCUGUCCCACCCAGUGUAACCUCAAUUUGAGAAUGACUUCUAAUCCAUGAAGUAAGUAGUGGAGCUGUAUGUUCCUGUCUCUCUGAUUUAAAGGUGUUUCUUCCAAUUAAGUUAGUACAGAGCUUGCUCAAUUUUACUCUUAAUAAAAAUACAAUAAUGUAAUUAUUAAAAAAAAAAAAGACAAGCGUUCUAUCUGUUACAUUAUAGAAAUGCACCACUGAGUUGCCUUGAAAGGGGGGUAUAGAAUUCUCUUAGUUCAAUCGAAUAAAGUACGGAGUAUGACAGGAUACAUUUUCCUAAGUGAAACAGAAAAUUGGCUUACGUUAGGUAAAACAUUAAUGGUGGUUUCAUUAAAAUGAAAUCUUAAUGCUGCAGUUCUAUCUACACUGUAAUUUAAGACUAGAAAUCUUUCUAGAAAUUCAGCCCAUCCUGCUGUAAUGCAGGACUGUUUUAGAACAGAAGCAAUUUCAUCAUGGCAUGUGCACGGUUUGCAGAAUUCAGAAGUGUCCCAGGUUAUCCCAUCAUGAUAAUGUAAGAAUCUUUUUAUUUGAUGAGAAUCUUUGGAUGAUUUCUUCAGUAAUGCUUUUCCCCCUCAUUUCCAUACUGCCACUGCUUGCAUUUUGUACCAGAUGCUGUUCUGUCAUGGAAGCAACUGCUUCUUGAUUUAUUUAUUUAUUGUGCCUGAAAACUUGUCUUCCUUUUCUGAGUGUAUUAGUUGGUCCAGUGAAAUCUAUUUCCAAUCUCUUCAAAUCUCAUUAUCCUUUUCAGGUUGGAUAUUAGGAAAAAUGUCUUCUCAGAAAGAGUAGUGUGGCAUUGGAACAGGCUGCCCAGGGAGCUGGUGGAGUCACCAUCUCUGGAGGUGUUCAAGAAAUGCAUAAAUGUGGCACUAUCUAUGAUAGUGGUGACAUGUGGUGACAUAGAGAGACAUGGCCAGGGUGGUGAUGGGCUGACGGUUGGACUAAAUGAGCUUGGAGGUCAUUGUCAACCUUAAUGAUUCUAUGGUCCUUUGGUUCUGCUUCUUCCAUGAUGCAGUUUAAUGGUUGAGUGGAUUUAAAUGGAGGCCAGGAGGGGUAAUGCUUUUUCCUUCUCUGCCCUUGGCAUUACUCUCCCACUGCUGCUCUCAGUGCCGAAGCAGUUUGCUUUGGAGUCAGCUAAACAGCUGUGCUGGAGAAGCAGACCCAGAGGAAACACACAGGUGAGAAGAGAAGGAGCAUCUAUUUGGCUGGCAGCCAUGUCACGGAGCUGCUUGACUGGAUGCCUGCCUGGCCUUGCAAGGUGCCAGCUUCUUGUCUUUACAAAUCCAAAGCAAUCGAGUUGUUGAGGAACAAUGUGGAUUACAAAGGCCUUAAAAGGUGAAGAUAAAGCUUCCACAGUCAAGGGAGUCAGGGCAGUGAAGUUUCCAGGGGAGAUUAAAUGAUUCAGAAAGCAGACUCUCUUGAGGAUGCCUUGCAACAUAUGUUUUGUGGAAAAAAAAUUGCUCCCCUGAAGCUCCCUUGCAAUCUGUAGACCUCCCCAGACUAAACCUAAAGGCCUUCCUUUAAAUAAAGAAGGAGAGCAGGCUCUGAAGGCCAUCAAGGCCUCCAUGCCUCCAUGAAAAGCUUCCUUGUGCCAGUGUGAGAGGGAUGGAGCUGUGGGUGCCAGCAGGAGCACUGCUGCCAGCUGGUUUGGCUUUCCUGUACUCCACAGCUGAGGGAAACCAGCUAAGUUACUGGGGUGUCUGAUACAUACAGAGUCUCAUGUGGUUUUUUGGGCUCUAUCCCAGAUUGCUUUCUGCCUGUCCUGGUGCAGGAAGGUUUCCAGGUGAAACACUUGAUGGAAAAUUCCUGCUAAGGAAGAAAAAGUAGAGGCUUAACCUUUGUAACAGCCUUAAUGGUGGGCUGGGGUCAAACCUGGUAAAGCUGAGGCUUGGAGUGGUGCCAUCCCACUGAGCCUGUGCUGUGUGAGGGACACACGGGUGCUUCUGCUGCUGUCAGGGCACAGGGUGGUGAUGUGGAGAUCCUCACUGCGACUGAAUCACUUCACCACCCACUGAAAUACUCUGCAGAUAAAGUUGCGUUGUUUAAGCAGAAAGCUCAUGCUGAAAUGAUGUAAUCUUGAAUGUAUAUAGGGGGGAGCACGCAAGAAUUAUUACCUUAAUUAUUAGUGACAGCUUUGGCUGAAUUUGAAAGCGUAUCCUGAAGGCGAAAAGCAAUCCUUGGGUUUACAGGAUUUCUACAUCAGCUCCAGGACUUAUAGGCCUCCUCCGUCAUUGUUUUCCUUCAUUUUUCAUCUUCUAAUUUGGUAACGAUCCUUUCCCGUUGCUAGUGCUCCCGUGCUCUGUUUAUUGGUUGCUCUUCUUAAAAAAAAAUAUCCAGGCUUAGGUUUUCGUGGGAAAAAGAUGUGGAGUAGGGAAACAGAGGAAAGCCUUUGGGGUGAUUUGUGGCAUUUAAUAACGUUUAAUAUUUAAAGAACAUUUAAUAACAAACAAGGCCAACAGCUAUUUUUAAAAGGGUUCAAUUGGCUUAUUUGUAUCAGAAGUAGUGGGGGCCAAAAAAGCUCUUACCCGCUUUGUUGUGAGGCUCAGGGUAUUCUGCCCGUGGUAUUUAUCCCCCUGCUGCGUGCUUUAUCUUCUGCUGGCCUCCGUGGGGGAUUUUAUAACACACUGCUUAUUUCACUCUAUUGCUCUGAGAUGUCAGCACGGUUUUGCACGUGGAAUGUUUUAUAAAUAAAUCAUCAGUUUUCACAAAUCAUUUGUUCUGUGAAGUGGGCAGAGUGUUUUAAAUGGCGUAUAAAUUCAGAGUCGCGAACUUUGAAAUGUGGGUUUGUAGUUUUGACCUGCUGUAGUUAGAAUUUGUGUCCAGGCAGGUACAAAGAGGACACACAGCAGGAGCCUGGCUGUCCAGCAGCUGUAACAGAGACCCAGGAGAUACCAGGAGGUGAGGAGCUGCUGAUGAAUCUAGCUGUCUGGCUGUAUCUGCUGGCCUCUGAAGGCCAUUCCUGCCCCUGUAGGGCUUGGCACUUAAUCUCACUUAAAGCACCUCUGCACCAAUAGUUGUCAGCGUGGCAGGCUCUGGCCACCUCAUAGCAUCCAUCUGGGGGCCUACUGUGACAUUCCUAACUGGGGAAUUUUAAUAGUUCUCUCUGUGUUGCAUUAACACAUAAUUGAGGCUUCACUGGUUGUUUUUGGCAAAGACCCUUUCGGGCUCAGCACUGCAUGGAAAAGGCAUCCGGGCAAUUGCCUCUCUUUUUAAGAGCGGGAUGUACAGGAGCAGUCACACACCUCAUUCCACACUCAAAAUAGCAUAGCUCUUUCUAUGGAAAAGUAAAUUCCCAGUUCCUGAGGGAAGAAACACUGUUGAAUAGCACUGUGUGGACUUCAGUACUGUGUACACUGCAGUGAGGGUGAGCUUCAAGGGACAGUAACAAGGUGGGGUUGUACUCACAGGGCUCCCUACUGAGAACUGGGCUGUUGCAAUUGGUAACCCCAGUGAAAUUCUCCCGCAGACAUUUGCAUCCCGAGCACGCUGUAGACUCCCUUAAACCAUUAUUACAUUUUUUCCCUUCUGCACCUCCCUGCUUCACACCCCUUGUCAGGACCGUUUCUGUUCUGUGCUGGCAAAGUGCUGCCAGCUGCUGAUUGCUACUUCAGGGCAAGGGCAGAUGAUUUUACAUUUCAUAACAAACGUUUCGUAAGAUUUCCUAAACUAAGUUGCUUUUUUUCCUCAGCUCUCUUUACCAAUUGUACAAUUUCCUUUAUUUUCUUUUUUUUUCCACGUUCGCAGCCUCAUAUUUCAGACUAGACUUAAACUCUGAAGCUCCCAGACUUUGGUGUGUGUGUAUUUUCAACAUGCAUUUGUCCCAGCAGUAGCUAAAUUUGCUAGAUGACAUGGGCAGAGUUUUGCAACGCCUCCUGCCCCAGCCCAGACGCACUCUCUCCGGGUGAGGGACUUUGCUGCUCCGUGUUUACAUUUUGUCUCUCACAACGGCAGCUCGUCCUGGCGGAGCCCUUUGGUACUACUGUGCUAUAAAUAAUCUGGCUCUGGUGUACCUGGUAAAUGUUUUUAAGAUUAGUCCGUAAGUGCUUCCAGUGUAAGUGCUUGGGUAUUAUGUUACAGUUAUGUUAUAAUGGCACGGUAUAGUGGAUGCUGUAAGAAAAAUCUUGGUCUAACGUGCUUGGAAAAUUCUUUAAAUGUACCAGUAGGACUUUAUUUUCUGAGAUACAAAGUUUGAGUUCUUCCCUUCAAAGUAGCGUUGUUUCCUUCCAAGCUCUUGGCCUCUUCACGCCACCUCCAGUUAGAUACAGCUCUGAUGCAUGAAGGUUUUUUGUUGUUCCCUCAUUUUCUUUUGACAGUAACUCCAAAAAAAGGCUUUUUUUCAGAGUAGGAAAGUUGUUUAAAUCAUCUUUUCAUUCAGUGUUGUGGUCUCUCUCUUCGUUUCAGCGAUGAGGGACUUGGCAGGGCUGGGCUUCUUUUUUGAUUUGGAAGAUAGCUUUGGUUUGGAACAUCCCAAAAUAAACGAUGUCCAAAAGUUUCCUCUUUGUCUGCUGUGAUUUCAAAGCAAUUUUCAUGGCUCCGUUCAGGACUGCCUAAUAGAAGAAAAUGGAGCAAUAAUUACUGCCCACAGAGAUUCUAACACAGCAGUUAUUUAACUAGGAACUGACAAACAUCUCUUAGAAGUGUUCCCGCUCCCUGAAGAACUGCGGACUUUGAGCCAGGCCCUUCUGCUGGAACUGAGCGCACAGCUCCUGCUGCACUCAGGCAUGCAGAGCAUGGGAAGAGCCGGUGCUGUGUUCGCUGGCUGCUCCUCAGAGCAUCGGCAUUGCCCCACGUGUGCCCCAGGUGGCACGGCUGCUGCACACCAUGCCGUGUGCUCCUUCCAUGCACUCCUAACGAUAUAAAUGAGCCUGUUUGUCCCACUGCAAAACCCACAGCGCUCACUAGGUUCAGACCUCAGGCUUAAACUACUGACUGGAGUAGCUGUAAGUACAUCUGGUGGUCAUUGGCUUUACUCAGGCCAGCUUUUCUUGAAACAAGCAUGGAAUUGUGAAGCAGUACAAAGCAAAGUGAUGCAGGCAGCACAGAGGUCUGUGCACGUGCUUUGUCCAAUGCCACUGCCUGUAUAGCA